UACGGGGGGGGUAAGCGUUGUUCGGAAUUACUGGGCGGAAAGGGCUCGUAGGCGGCCAACUAAGUCAUACGUGAAAUCCCUCAGCUUAACUGGGGAACUGCGUGUGAUACUGGAUGGCUUGGAUGUGGGAGAGGGAUGCGGAAUUCCAGGUGUAGCGGUGAAAUGCGUAGAUAUCUGGAGGAACACCGGUGGCGAAGGCGGCAUCCUGGACCAUUAUUGACGCUGAGGAGCGAAAGCCAGGGGAGCAAACGGG
rnacentral:rRNA from 1 species